rnacentral:rRNA from 1 species
GAAUUUUGGGCAAUGGGCGAAAGCCUGACCCAGCAACGCCGCGUGAAGGAUGAAAUCCUUCGGGAUGUAAACUUCGCAAGAACGGGAAGAAUAAGUAAGAGCUAACAUCUCUUACGAUGACGGUACUGUUUGUAAGCUCCGGCUAACUCCGUUCCAGCAGCCGCGGUAAUACGGGGGGAGCAAGCGUUGUUCGGAUUUACUGGGCGUAAAGGGCGCGUAGGCGGCCACCGCAAGUCAGUUGUGAAAUCUCUGGGCUUAACUCAGAAAGGUCAACUGAUACUGCGGGGCUAGAGUGCAGAAGGGGCAACUGGAAUUCUCGGUGUAGCGGUGAAAUGCGUAGAUAUCGAGAGGAACACCUGCGGCGAAGGCGGGUUGCUGGGCUGACACUGACGCUGAGGCGCGAAAGCUAGGGGAGCGAACGGG